AGCUCGCGUCCGAUUAGCUAGUUGGCGGAGUAAAAGCCCACCAAGGCGACGAUCAGUAGCUGGUCUGAGAGGAUGAUCAGCCACAUUGGGACUGAGACACGGCCCAAACUCCUACGGGAGGCAGCAGUGGGGAAUCUUGCGCAAUGGGCGAAAGCCUGACGCAGCCAUGCCGCGUGAAUGAUGAAGGUCUUAGGAUUAGUAAAAUUCUUUCACCGGGGACGAUAAUGACGGUACCCGGAGAAGAACGCCCCGGCUAACUUCGUGCCAGCAGCCGCGGUAAUACGAAGGGGGCUAGCGUUGCUCGGAAUUACUGGGCGUCGACGCGGCCG
rnacentral:rRNA from 1 species